rnacentral:lncRNA from 10 species
GCUCCAUCAAUAUUUGUUGAAAAGAAAGAAAAGGAAAGCAGGAUGGAGAUGGACUGACCCUGCCCAGCACCCCUGUCCAGCCCCUGCCCAGCACCCCUGUCCAGCCCCUGCCCAGCACCCCUGUCCAGCCCCUGCCCAGCACCCCUGUCCAGCCCCUGCCCAGACCCCUGCCCAGCCUCCCCUGUCUAUUUUCCAGACAGCAGCCAGAGGCGUCUUUGCAGACACCACUGUCCUGCAGCAACCCUCUAAACCCUUCGCCGGCUCCACAGUUUGAUCCAGGAACCUCCUGAUAUGUUUCGGCUGUGUCCCCACCCUAAUUCAUCUUGAAUUGCAGCUCCCAUAAUCCCCAUGUGUCAUGGGAGGGACCCAGUGGGAGGUAAUUGAAUCAUGGGGGUGAGUUUUUCCUGUGCUGUUCUCGUGAUAGUGAAUAAGUCUCUCAAGAUCUGAUGGUUUUAUAAAAGGCGGUUCUCCUGCACACGCUCUCUUGCCUGCCACCAUGUAAGACGCGCCUUUGCUCCUCCUUCACUUUCCGCCAUGAUUAUGAGGCCUCCCCAGCCAUGUGGAACUGUGAGUCCAUUAAACCUCUUUUUCUUUAUAAAUUACCCAGUCUUGGUAAUUUAUUACAGUGCGAGAACAGACUAGUACACCUCCAAAUCUCUAAAUAAAAUGUUUAUAUUACUAUUUCUUGAUUUAUUAAUUUUAGGCAUUGUUUAGGAUUUCACUCCAUUACACAUUUGCUCUUCCCCGC